GCUUGCUUUGUCAAUACAAAUACUAAAAUUGGAGCGGUGCAGAGAAGAUUGCCAUGACCCUUGUGCCAGAAUAACACACAAAUUCAUGAGUCAUUUGCUAAUUUU
ensembl:snRNA LOC120094866 U6 spliceosomal RNA